rnacentral:rRNA from 1 species
UACGUAGGGUGCAAGCGUUGUCCGGAAUUAUUGGGCGUAAAGAGCUCGUAGGCGGCUUGUCGCGUCGACUGUGAAAACCUGGGGCUUAACUCCGGGCCUGCAGUCGAUACGGGCAAGCUAGAGUUCGGUAGGGGAGACGUGGAAUUCCUGGUGGUAGCGGUGAAAUGCGCAGAUAUCGGAAGGAACACCAGUGGCGAAAGCGGCUUCCUGGUCCGACACCGACGUUCAGGCAUGAAAGCGUGGGGAGCAAACAGG